CGAAUUCGCCCUUAGAGUUUGAUCCUGGCUCAGGAUGAACGCUAGCUACAGGCUUAACACAUGCAAGUCGAGGGGCAGCGGGAUUGAAGCUUGCUUCAAUUGCCGGCGACCGGCGCACGGGUGAGUAACGCGUAUCCAACCUUCCGUACACUCAGGGAUAGCCUUUCGAAAGAAAGAUUAAUACCUGAUGGUAUGAUGAGAUUGCAUGAUAGCAUCAUUAAAGAUUUAUCGGUGUACGAUGGGGAUGCGUUCCAUUAGGUAGUAGGCGGGGUAACGGCCCACCUAGCCAACGAUGGAUAGGGGUUCUGAGAGGAAGGUCCCCCACAUUGGAACUGAGACACGGUCCAAACUCCUACGGGAGGCAGCAGUGAGGAAUAUUGGUCAAUGGACGAGAGUCUGAACCAGCCAAGUAGCGUGAAGGAUGAAGGUCCUACGGAUUGUAAACUUCUUUUAUAAGGGAAUAAACCCUCCCACGUGUGGGAGCUUGUAUGUACCUUAUGAAUAAGCAUCGGCUAACUCCGUGCCAGCAGCCGCGGUAAUACGGAGGAUGCGAGCGUUAUCCGGAUUUAUUGGGUUUAAAGGGAGCGCAGACGGGUCGUUAAGUCAGCUGUGAAAGUUUGGGGCUCAACCUUAAAAUUGCAGUUGAUACUGGCGUCCUUGAGUGCGGUUGAGGUGUGCGGAAUUCGUGGUGUAGCGGUGAAAUGCUUAGAUAUCACGAAGAACUCCGAUUGCGAAGGCCAGCACACUAAUCCGCAACUGACGUUCAUGCUCGAAAGUGUGGGUAUCAAACAGGAUUAGAUACCCUGGUAGUCCACACGGUAAACGAUGGAUACUCGCUGUUGGCGAUAUACUGUCAGCGGCUUAGCGAAAGCGUUAAGUAUCCCACCUGGGGAGUACGCCGGCAACGGUGAAACUCAACAG
rnacentral:rRNA from 1 species